rnacentral:rRNA from 1 species
CAGUAGCCGCGGUAAUACAGAGGGUGCGAGCGUUAAUCGGAUUUACUGGGCGUAAAGCGUGCGUAGGCGGCUUCUUAAGUCGGAUGUGAAAUCCCUGAGCUUAACUUAGGAAUUGCAUUCGAUACUGGGAAGCUAGAGUAUGGGAGAGGAUGGUAGAAUUCCAGGUGUAGCGGUGAAAUGCGUAGAGAUCUGGAGCAAUACCGAUGGCGAAGGCAGCCAUCUGGCCUAAUACUGACGCUGAGGUACGAAAGCAUGGGGAGCAAACAGGAUUAGAUACCCGCGUAGUCCCUGUCUCUUAUAC